AUGAUACUCCCUCCAUUCGGAAUUACUUGUCUUAGAAUUGGACGUAUCUAGAACUAAAAUACGUCUAGAUACAUCCAUUUCUACGACAAGUAAUUCCGAACGGAAGGAGUACGUC
rfam:Triticum aestivum genome assembly, contig: Triticum_aestivum_CS42_TGACv1_scaffold_195106_3AL